UACGUAGGUGGCAAGCGUUGUCCGGAAUCACUGGGCGUAAAGCGCGCGCAGGCGGCGAUCUACGUCUGGGGUGAAAGCCCGGGGCUCAACCUCGGGACUGCCUUGGAUACGGGAUCGCUUGAGAAUUGGAGAGGCAAGGGGAAUUCCACGUGUAGCGGUGAAAUGCGUAGAUAUGUGGAGGAACACCUGUGGCGAAGGCGCCUUGCUGGCCAAUUUCUGACGCUGAGGCGCGAAAGCGUGGGGAGCAAACAGG
rnacentral:rRNA from 1 species